UACGGAGGAUCCGAGCGUUAUCCGGAUUUAUUGGGUUUAAAGGGUGCUCAGGCGGGCCAUUAAGUCGGCGGUGAAAUUUUGCGGCUCAACCGUAAAAGUGCCUUCGAUACUGGUGGUCUUGAGUGUGGAUGAGGUAGGCGGAAUUUGUGGUGUAGCGGUGAAAUGCAUAGAUAUCACGAGGAACUCCGAUUGCUAAGGCAGCUUACUAAGCCAUAACUGACGCUCAAGCACGAAGGCGUGGGGAUCAAACAGGAUUAGAUACCCCUGUAGU
rnacentral:rRNA from 1 species